rnacentral:rRNA from 1 species
GACGAACGCUGGCGGCGUGCUUAACACAUGCAAGUCGAACGGUCAAGCUCCAGCUUUCUGGAGUGGAUCAGUGGCGAACGGGUGAGUAACACGUGAGCAACCUGCCCCUGACUCUGUAGUAAACGCUGGAAACGGCGUCUAAUACUGGAUACGAUAAAUUUCCGCAUGUGCACUUUCUGUAAAGUUUUGCGGUUGUGGAUGGUCUCGCGGCCUAUCAGCUUCUUGGUGAGGUAAUGGCUCACGACGGCUACGAGGGGUAGCCGGCCUGAGAGGGCUACCGGCCACAAUGGGACUGCGGGAGGGACCAGAAUGGUACGGGCGGCAGCAGUGGGGAAUCUUGCAGAGUGGGCGAACGCCUGAUGCAGAGGUGCCGCGUGAGGGAUGACGGCCUUUGAGGUGUAAACAUAUUUCAGCAGGGAAGAAGCGAAAGUGACGGUACCUGCAGAAGAAGCACCGGCUAACUACGUG